rnacentral:rRNA from 1 species
GACGAACGCUGGCGGCGUGCUUAACACAUGCAAGUCGAGCGGUAGGGCCCCUUCGGGGGUACACGAGCGGCGAACGGGUGAGUAACACGUGAGCAACCUACCCUCAACUUUGGGAUAAGCCUCGGAAACGGGGUCUAAUACCGGAUAACAUCAUGCUCCUCAUGGGGUGUGGUUGAAAGUUCUGGCGGUUGGGGAUGGGCUCGCGGCCUAUCAGCUUGUUGGUGGGGUAAUGGCCUACCAAGGCGUCGACGGGUAGCCGGCCUGAGAGGGCGACCGGCCACACUGGGACUGAGACACGGCCCAGACUCCUACGGGAGGCAGCAGUGAGGAAUAUUGCGCAAUGGACGAAAGUCUGACGCAGCAACGCCGCGUGAGGGAUGACGGCCUUCGGGUUGUAAACCUCUUUCAGCAGGGACGAAGCGAGAGUGACGGUACCUGCAGAAGAAGGACCGGCCAACUACGUGCCAGCAGCCGCGGUAACAC